GACAAUUCUGCACAGUGGGAGUGUUGGUGAAUUCUGGCUCCCGAUAUGAAGCAAAAUAUCCAAGUGGAAUAGCAAAUUUUUUAGAGAAACUAGCCUUUUCUUCCACAGCUAAGUAUGGGAGUAAAGAUGAAAUCCUACUGACGCUUGAAAAACAUGGAGGAAUAUGUGACUGUCAGACCUUGAGGUACAAGUUUUUCUCUGUCUGUUUUAUAUAUAUACAGUCCCCUUCAAAAG